AUGUACACCAGGAAGAUGUUUGAGAUUUUCGGGGGUUUAUUGUACGAAUCCGGAAGCUAUGAUGUAGAAGAGAUCAUACCAAAACAGAAAUACAUAGUGACACACGUGAAGGCUGAAAAGCGAGAGAAAUGGUUCAAAUGCCGCUACGAGGUCAAUGUGUCGGAUAAUCUGGGGUAUUUUUCCUGCAUAUGCGGCCUGUUCGAGCACAUGGGGAUGGUUUGCUGUCACUCGCUACAGGUCAUGAAUGUGCUCCGGCUUAAGGAGAUUCCACCCAGACACAUCCUGAAGAGAUGGAGCAUACACGGGAGAGACAAUCUGCCAGAUCAUCUAAAACAUUAUCAACAGGACAUGGGGCCGCCGGACGCACCCAUUUAUAGACAUUCUGCUUUGUACAUCACUGCUCUGGAAGUGGUUAAAAUGGGUGACAGAAACCUAGAAUCAUACAAAUUCAUGUUGGAUGGAUUGGUGGAUCUGAGGGAGAGAGGAGCAGAAAUUAGCGCACCAAAUGAUGGCCUAGGCAUUGCGGAGCGGUAG
rnacentral:rRNA from 1 species